rnacentral:rRNA from 1 species
AUGAGCCACCACCACGCCGUGGCAGCCCACAUCCUCGCAUCCAUGCCCUGGCCAACACCACCGGAGGCUCCACCAUCCCACCGGAGAAGCACAGCCGCCAGCAGCACCACCACCACCUUAGCAGGGCCGCCGGCCGUCCCCGCCGCCACCAACCACCAACACCAACCAGAUCUGGGCAGAGCCACCCAGAUCCGCCGCCAGAGCAACCUGCCUCCUCGGAUCCCCACAAGCCGCGCUGGAGGGGGGAGGGAGGAGAGGGGGGCACGCCUGCGGGCCACCACGACGCCGGAGAGGGGGAGGGGAGACGGAGCAGAGGAGAGCCACCGCCCGACGCCGACGGGCAGGAGGGGGCGCCCCGCGACGCCGGCCACCUGCGCGCGGGAGGAGACGCCCCGCCGCCGCCUGCGCCACGCGGCCUUUGGCCGGUGA